CUGGAUAGACAGGAAGGCUUUUAUUUUGACGUGUGCAUAGACAGGAAGCAGGAAAUGCAGAGAACCAGGGAAAAGCAUGGCUACACCUUUGUAAUCAUUCAUGUGGAAUCCAAAACAAUCCUUCAAAGGAGUCCUUCAGAAAGCAAUGGUUUUUCACUCCAGUUCCAUGAUGUCAGUUCAAGAUGAUUACUAUGUCUGGAGUCAUUAAAGGAGGAAGUACGCUCACCUUCUUGGCUCUUGAAAAGGAGUUUGGCUGGCUGUUUAUCUAUGUUCACACUCAGGGAGUUUAACACAGAGAGAGAACAGUACAGUGAAAGACCACAUUCGUCAGAGGGAUUCUCCAGCAUAGUUUUUGGCUCCAAACACUUUGUGUUUAAGUUCCUAAUCUUUGUUUUCUUUGUGAACAACAUCUGGAGCUUUUUGACUCAUAGAAACAUCAUUUUGUUCUUUAGAUGACAGCAGAUUGGGACUGAAUAAUCAAUCACUAUCAAACC